UACGGGGGGGGCAAGCGUUGUUCGGAAUUACUGGGCGUAAAGGGCGCGUAGGCGGUCCGCUAAGUUAGAUGUGAAAACUCUGGGCUCAACCCAGAGCCUGCAUCUAAUACUGACGGGCUAGAGUUCUGGAGGGGGUAGCGGAAUUCCUGGUGUAGCGGUGAAAUGCGUAGAUAUCGAGAGGAACACCAGUGGCGAAGGCGAGUCCCUGGACAACACCUGACACUGAGGCACGAAAGCUAGGGGAGCAAACAGG
rnacentral:rRNA from 1 species